rnacentral:rRNA from 1 species
AGUUCGAGAGAGGUGAGUGGAAUUCCGAGUGUAGAGGUGAAAUUCGUAGAUAUUCGGAGGAACACCAGUGGCGAAGGCGGCUCACUGGCUCGAUACUGACGCUGAGGUGCGAAAGCGUGGGGAGCAAUCAGGAUUAGAUACCCCAGUAGUCCUAGCCGUAAACGAUGGAUACUAGGUGUUGUCUGUAUCGACCCGGACAGUGCCGUAGCUAACGCGUUAAGUAUCCCGCCUGGGGAGUACGCACGCAAGUGUGAAACUCAAAGGAAUUGACGGGGCCCGCACAAGCGGUGGAGUAUGUGGUUUAAUUCGAUG